AUUGAACGCUGGCGGCAUGCCUUACACAUGCAAGUCGAACGGCAGCAUGGAGAGCUUGCUCUCUGAUGGCGAGUGGCGAACGGGUGAGUAAUGCAUCGGAACGUACCGUGUAAUGGGGGAUAACGUAGCGAAAGUUACGCUAAUACCGCAUACGACCUGAGGGUGAAAGCAGGGGGUCGCAAGACCUUGCGUUAUACGAGCGGCCGAUGUCAGAUUAGCUAGUUGGUGAGGUAAAGGCUCACCAAGGCGAGGAUCUGUAGCGGGUCUGAGAGGAUGAUCCGCCACACUGGGACUGACACACGGCCCAGACUCCUACGGGAGGCAGCAGUGGGGAAUUUUGGACAAUGGGGGCAACCCUGAUCCAGCCAUGCCGCGUGAGUGAAGAAGGCCUUCGGGUUGUAAAGCUCUUUCGGCCGGGAAGAAAUCGCACAGGCUAAUACUCUGUGUGGAUGACGGUACCGGCAUAAGAAGCACCGGCUAACUACGUGCCAGCCGCCGCGGUAA
rnacentral:rRNA from 1 species